UGGCUAAACAUCAUCUGGAUUUGAUCAUUUGCCACAAGCAGGAUGCUAUGUGAAAAAUGUGAUGGCAAGUGUGUGAUUUGUGACUCCUAUAGGUGCAUCCUUGCACCCUGGUGUGCAUAGGUGAUGAAUGUAAGUAUAGAUCUUACCAGGGGCAUUGUGUGAUCUGUGGAGGUCCUGGGGUUUCUGAUGCCUAUUGUUGUAAGGAGCUCACCAUCCAGGAGAAGGAUAGAGAUGUCUGCCCAAAGAUUGCCAAUUUGGGGAUCUCUAAGACCUCUUCUAUGAACGUAAAAAAUGUGACUUCAAGAAGAGG
rnacentral:lncRNA from 1 species